rnacentral:rRNA from 3 species
UGCAGAAUCCCGUGAACCAUCGAGUCUUUGAACGCAAGUUGCGCCCGAAGCCUUUAGGCCGAGGGCACGUCUGCAUGGGCGUCACGC